rnacentral:rRNA from 1 species
GACAGGGGAUGCAAGCGUUACUCGGAAUUACUGGGCGUAAAGCGUCUGCAGGUUUCCUGCCACGUCUGAAGUCAAAUGGCGAUGCUUAACAUCGUCAACGCUUUGGAAACGAGCGGGAUAGAGUCACUCAGAGGCACCUGGAAUGUCGUGUGUAGGGGUAAAAUCCGUAGAUCCACGAUGGAACGCCGAAAGCGAAGGCAGGAUGCUGGGGGUGUACUGACACUCAGAGACGAAAGCGUGGGGAGCAAAGGGG